rnacentral:rRNA from 1 species
AGAGUUUGAUCCUGGCUCAGGAUGAACGCUGGCGGCGUGCUUAACACAUGCAAGUCGAACGCACCUUCGGGUGAGUGGCGGACGGGUGAGUAACGCGUGAGAAUCUGCCCUCAGGAGGGGGAUAACGGCUGGAAACGGCCGCUAAUACCCCAUAUGCCGCGAGGUGAAAUGAGUUUUCGCCUGAGGAUGAGCUCGCGUCUGAUUAGCUAGUUGGUGGGGUAAGAGCCUACCAAGGCAUCGAUCAGUAGCUGGUCUGAGAGGAUGAUCAGCCACACUGGGACUGAGACACGGCCCAGACUCCUACGGGAGGCAGCAGUGGGGAAUUUUCCGCAAUGGGCGAAAGCCUGACGGAGCAACGCCGCGUGAGGGAUGAAGGCCUCUGGGCUGUAAACCUCUUUUCUCAAGGAAGAAGAUCUGACGGUACUUGAGGAAUAAGCCACGGCUAAUUCCGUGCCAGCAGCCGCGGUAAUACGGGAGUGGCAAGCGUUAUCCGGAAUUAUUGGGCGUAAAGCGUCCGCAGGCGGUCUUGAAAGUCUGUUGUUAAAGCGUGGAGCUCAACUCCAUUUAAGCAAUGGAAACUACAAGACUAGAGUGUGGUAGGGGCAGAGGGAAUUCCCGGUGUAGCGGUGAAAUGCGUAGAUAUCGGGAAGAACACCAGUGGCGAAGGCGCUCUGCUGGGCCAUAACUGACGCUCAUGGACGAAAGCCAGGGGAGCGAAAGGGAUUAGAUACCCCUGUAGUCCUGGCCGUAAACGAUGAACACUAGGUGUCGGGGGAAUCGACCCCCUCGGUGUCGUAGCCAACGCGUUAAGUGUUCCGCCUGGGGAGUACGCACGCAAGUGUGAAACUCAAAGGAAUUGACGGGGGCCCGCACAAGCGGUGGAGUAUGUGGUUUAAUUCGAUGCAACGCGAAGAACCUUACCAGGGUUUGACAUCCUGCGAAUCCCUGAGAAAUCGGGGAGUGCCUUCGGGAGCGCAGAGACAGGUGGUGCAUGGCUGUCGUCAGCUCGUGUCGUGAGAUGUUGGGUUAAGUCCCGCAACGAGCGCAACCCACGUCUUUAGUUGCCAGCAUUAAGUUGGGCACUCUAGAGAGACCGCCGGUGAUAAACCGGAGGAAGGUGUGGAUGACGUCAAGUCAUCAUGCCCCUUACAUCCUGGGCUACACACGUACUACAAUGCUACGGACAAAGGGCAGCAAACUCGCGAGAGCUAGCAAAUCCCAUAAACCGUGGCUCAGUUCAGAUCGUAGGCUGCAACUCGCCUACGUGAAGGAGGAAUCGCUAGUAAUCGCAGGUCAGCAUACUGCGGUGAAUACGUUCCCGGGCCUUGUACACACCGCCCGUCACACCAUGGAAGUUGGCCACGCCCGAAGUCGUUACUCCAACCCUUGUGGAGGAGGACGCCGAAGGUGGGGCUGAUGACUGGGGUGAAGUCGUAACAAGGUAGCCGUACCGGAAGGUGCGGCUGGAUCACCU